rnacentral:rRNA from 1 species
CCUACGGGCGGCAGCAGUGGGGAAUAUUGGACAAUGGGCGAAAGCCUGAUCCAGCCAUGCCGCGUGUGUGAAGAAGGCCUUCGGCUUGUAAAGCACUUUCAGUGGGGAAGAAAGCCUUGGGGCUAAUACCCUCGAGGAAGGACAUCACCCACAGAAGAAGCACCGGCUAACUCCGUGCCAGCAGCCGCGGUAAUACGGAGGGUGCGAGCGUUAAUCGGAAUUACUGGGCGUAAAGCGCGCGUAGGCGGUCUGAUAAGCCGGUUGUGAAAGCCCCGGGCUCAACCUGGGAACGGCAUCCGGAACUGUCAGGCUAGAGUGCAGGAGAGGAAGGUAGAAUUCCCGGUGUAGCGGUGAAAUGCGUAGAGAUCGGGAGGAAUACCAGUGGCGAAGGCGGCCUUCUGGACUGACACUGACGCUGAGGUGCGAAAGCGUGGGUAGCAAACAGGAUUAGAUACCCCAGUAGUC